GAUGAACGCUGGCGGCGUGCCUAAUACAUGCAAGUCGAGCGAAUGGAUUAAGAGCUUGCUCUUAUGAAGUUAGCGGCGGACGGGUGAGUAACACGUGGGUAACCUGCCCAUAAGACUGGGAUAACUCCGGGAAACCGGGGCUAAUACCGGAUAACAUUUUGAACCGCAUGGUUCGAAAUUGAAAGGCGGCUUCGGCUGUCACUUAUGGAUGGACCCGCGUCGCAUUAGCUAGUUGGUGAGGUAACGGCUCACCAAGGCAACGAUGCGUAGCCGACCUGAGAGGGUGAUCGGCCACACUGGGACUGAGACACGGCCCGGACUCCUACGGGAGGCAGCAGUAGGGAAUCUUCCGCAAUGGACGAAAGUCUGACGGAGCAACGCCGCGUGAGUGAUGAAGGCUUUCGGGUCGUAAAACUCUGUGGUUAGGAAAGAACAAGUGCUAGUUGAAUAAGCUGGCACCUUGACGGCACCUAACCAGAAAGCCACGGCUAACUACGUGCCAGCCGCCGCAGUAA
rnacentral:rRNA from 1 species